rnacentral:rRNA from 1 species
AUUGAACGCUGGCGGCAGGCCUAACACAUGCAAGUCGAGCGGAGCGGCGGACGGGUGAGUAAUGCCUAGGAAUCUGCCUGGUAGUGGGGGAUAACGUCCGGAAACGGGCGCUAAUACCGCAUACUAUCAGAUGAGCCUAGGUCGGAUUAGCUAGUUGGUGGGGAAAGGCCUACCAAGGCGACGAUCAGUAACUGGUCUGAGGGGAUGAACAGCAACACUGUAGCUGAGACACGGUCCAUACUCCUACGUGAUGCAGCACUGGGGAAUAUUGCACAAUGGGCGCAAUCCUGAUGCAGCCAUGCCGCGUGUAUGAAGAAGGCCUUCGGGUUGUAAAGUACUUUCAGCGGGGAGGCGUUACCCGCAGAAGAAGCACCGGCUAACUCCGUGCCAGCCGCCGCGGUAAUAC